GGAGCUUGCUCCACCGGAAAAAGAAGAGUGGCGAACGGGUGAGUAACACGUGGGUAACCUGCCCAUCAGAAGGGGAUAACACUUGGAAACAGGUGCUAAUACCGUAUAACAAUCGAAACCGCAUGGUUUUGAUUUGAAAGGCGCUUUCGGGUGUCGCUGAUGGAUGGACCCGCGGUGCAUUAGCUAGUUGGUGAGGUAACGGCUCACCAAGGCCACGAUGCAUAGCCGACCUGAGAGGGUGAUCGGCCACAUUGGGACUGAGACACGGCCCAAACUCCUACGGGAGGCAGCAGUAGGGAAUCUUCGGCAAUGGACGAAAGUCUGACCGAGCAACGCCGCGUGAGUGAAGAAGGUUUUCGGAUCGUAAAACUCUGUUGUUAGAGAAGAACAAGGAUGAGAGUAACUGUUCAUCCCUUGACGGUAUCUAACCAGAAAGCCACGGCUAACUACGUGCCAGCAGCCGCGGUAAUACGUAGGUGGCAAGCGUUGUCCGGAUUUAUUGGGCGUAAAGCGAGCGCAGGCGGUUUCUUAAGUCUGAUGUGAAAGCCCCCGGCUCAACCGGGGAGGGUCAUUGGAAACUGGGAGACUUGAGUGCAGAAGAGGAGAGUGGAAUUCCAUGUGUAGCGGUGAAAUGCGUAGAUAUAUGGAGGAACACCAGUGGCGAAGGCGGCUCUCUGGUCUGUAACUGACGCUGAGGCUCGAAAGCGUGGGGAGCAAACAGGAUUAGAUACCCUGGUAGUCCACGCCGUAAACGAUGAGUGCUAAGUGUUGGAGGGUUUCCGCCCUUCAGUGCUGCAGCUAACGCAUUAAGCACUCCGCCUGGGGAGUACGACCGCAAGGUUGAAACUCAAAGGAAUUGACGGGGGCCCGCACAAGCGGUGGAGCAUGUGGUUUAAUUCGAAGCAACGCGAAGAACCUUACCAGGUCUUGACAUCCUUUGACCACUCUAGAGAUAGAGCUUCCCCUUCGGGGGCAAAGUGACAGGUGGUGCAUGGUUGUCGUCAGCUCGUGUCGUGAGAUGUUGGGUUAAGUCCCGCAACGAGCGCAACCCUUAUUGUUAGUUGCCAUCAUUUAGUUGGGCACUCUAGCAAGACUGCCGGUGACAAACCGGAGGAAGGUGGGGAUGACGUCAAAUCAUCAUGCCCCUUAUGACCUGGGCUACACACGUGCUACAAUGGGAAGUACAACGAGUCGCGAAGUCGCGAGGCUAAGCUAAUCUCUUAAAGCUUCUCUCAGUUCGGAUUGUAGGCUGCAACUCGCCUACAUGAAGCCGGAAUCGCUAGUAAUCGCGGAUCAGCACGCCGCGGUGAAUACGUUCCCGGGCCUUGUACACACCGCCCGUCACACCACGAGAGUUUGUAACACCCGAAGUCGGUGAGGUA
rnacentral:rRNA from 1 species